rnacentral:rRNA from 1 species
UACGGAGGGUGCAAGCGUUAUCCGGAUUCACUGGGUUUAAAGGGUGCGUAGGUGGGCAAGUAAGUCAGUGGUGAAAUCUCCGGGCUUAACCCGGAAACUGCCAUUGAUACUAUUUGUCUUGAAUACUGUGGAGGUCAGCAGAAUAUGUCAUGUAGCGGUGAAAUGCUUAGAUAUGACAUAGAACACCAAUUGCGAAGGCAGCUGGCUACACAAAUAUUGACACUGAGGCACGAAAGCGUGGGGAUCAAACAGG